UCCGAGUUGACCCCGGCAGUCUCUUAUGAGUCCCCACCAUUACGUGCUGGCAACAUAAGACGAGGGUUGCGCUCGUUGCGGGACUUAACCCAACAUCUCACGACACGAGCUGACGACAGCCAUGCACCACCUGUAUACCGACAAAAGGGGCCACAUCUCUGCAGCUUUCCGGUAUAUGUCAAACCCAGGUAAGGUGGGGAUGACGUCUGAGAGUACGUCC
rnacentral:misc_RNA from 1 species